rnacentral:rRNA from 1 species
CUACGGGCGGCUCCAGUGGGGAAUAUUGCACAAUGGGGGAAACCCUGAUGCAGCAACGCCGCGUGGAGGAUGACGCUUUUCGGUGCGUAAACUCCUUUUAUAUGUCAAGAAAAUGACGGUAGCAUAUGAAUAAGCGCCGGCUAACUCCGUGCCAGCAGCCGCGGUAAUACGGAGGGCGCAAGGUUACCCGGAAUCACUGGGCGUAAAGGACGCGUAGGCGGGUUGGAAAGUCAGGUGUGAAAGCCUACAGCUUAACUGUAGAACUGCACUUGAAACUUCAAUCUAGAGUAUGGGAGGGGGAGAUGGAAUUAGUGGUGUAGGGGUAAAAUCCGUAGAUAUCACUAGGAAUACCUAAAGCGAAGGCGAUCUGCUGGAACAUUACUGACGCUAAGGCGUGAAAGCGUGGGGAGCAAACAGGAUUAGAUACCCCAGUAGUC